GUUAUUAUAGUUUAAUAAAAACAUUAAGUUGUGGUCUUAAAAUUGAAAAUUCUAAUAACA
rnacentral:tRNA from 1 species